rnacentral:rRNA from 1 species
AGAGUUUGAUCAUGGCUCAGAACGAACGCUGCGGCAUGCCUAACACAUGCAAGUCGAACGAGGGCUUCGGCCCUAGUGGCGCACGGGUGAGUAACGCGUGGGAACCUGCCCUGUGGUACGGAAUAACUCCGGGAAACUGGAGCUAAUACCGUAUGUGUCCUGUGGGACAAAGAUUUAUCGCCAUGGGAUGGGCCCGCGUAGGAUUAGCUUGUUGGUGGGGUAACGGCCUACCAAGGCUUCGAUCCUUAGCUGGUCUGAGAGGAUGAUCAGCCACACUGGGACUGAGACACGGCCCAGACUCCUACGGGAGGCAGCAGUGGGGAAUAUUGGACAAUGGGCGCAAGCCUGAUCCAGCAAUGCCGCGUGAGUGAUGAAGGCCUUCGGGUUGUAAAGCUCUUUCGCACGCGACGAUGAUGACGGUAGCGUGAGAAGAAGCCCCGGCUAACUUCGUGCCAGCAGCCGCGGUAAUACGAAGGGGGCUAGCGUUGUUCGGAAUUACUGGGCGUAAAGGGCGCGUAGGCGGUACUUCAAGUCAGGCGUGAAAGCCCCGGGCUCAACCUGGGAACCGCGCUUGAGACUGGAGAACUAGAGUUCGGGAGAGGAUGGUGGAAUUCCCAGUGUAGAGGUGAAAUUCGUAGAUAUUGGGAAGAACACCGAUGGCGAAGGCAGCCAUCUGGACCGACACUGACGCUGAGGCGCGAAAGCGUGGGGAGCAAACAGGAUUAGAUACCCUAGUAGUCC